rnacentral:piRNA from 1 species
UACAAUGGUGGCUGCCAGGAUACAAUGG